CCUGGAGCGCGCGGGCGAGGCGGGUGCUGCGCACCGGAGCUCACGGGGGCGCACAGCGGCGCGCUCGCACCGCGCUGCUCU
ensembl:miRNA